GGCGUGCUAUACAUGCAGUCGAGCGGACCGACGGGAGCUUGCUCCCUUAGGUCAGCGGCGGACGGGUGAGUAACACGUGGGUAACCUGCCUGUAAGACUGGGAUAACUCCGGGAAACCGGGGCUAAUACCGGAUGCUUGAUUGAACCGCAUGGUUCAAUCAUAAAAGGUGGCUUUUAGCUACCACUUACAGAUGGACCCGCGGCGCAUUAGCUAGUUGGUGAGGUAACGGCUCACCAAGGCGACGAUGCGUAGCCGACCUGAGAGGGUGAUCGGCCACACUGGGACUGAGACACGGCCCAGACUCCUACGGGAGGCAGCAGUAGGGAAUCUUCCGCAAUGGACGAAAGUCUGACGGAGCAACGCCGCGUGAGUGAUGAAGGUUUUCGGAUCGUAAAACUCUGUUGUUAGGGAAGAACAAGUACCGUUCGAAUAGGGCGGUACCUUGACGGUACCUAACCAGAAAGCCACGGCUAACUACGUGCCAGCAGCCGCGGUAAUACGUAGGUGGCAAGCGUUGUCCGGAAUUAUUGGGCGUAAAGCGCGCGCAGGCGGUUUCUUAAGUCUGAUGUGAAAGCCCCCGGCUCAACCGGGGAGGGUCAUUGGAAACUGGGGAACUUGAGUGCAGAAGAGGAGAGUGGAAUUCCACGUGUAGCGGUGAAAUGCGUAGAGAUGUGGAGGAACACCAGUGGCGAAGGCGACUCUCUGGUCUGUAACUGACGCUGAGGCGCGAAAGCGUGGGGAGCGAACAGGAUUAGAUACCCUGGUAGUCCACGCCGUAAACGAUGAGUGCUAAGUGUUAGAGGGUUUCCGCUCUUUAGUGCUGCAGUACCCCAUUUACAAUUGCCCCCGGGGUAGUUAGGUCCCGAGACUUUAACUCCAAGGAAU
rnacentral:rRNA from 1 species